CCUUUACAAUGCACGCAAGUGUGAUAAGGGAAUUCAAAGUGCUUACACUAUGUGUAGGCUUUUGCCAAUGAUAAAUACAUUGGCGAAUAAGUGGUGGGUAAGACUGGUGCCAGCCGCCGCGGUAACACCAGCGCCACAAGUGGGAAUCAGUAUUAUUGGGCUUAAAGCGUUCGUAGCCGGUUUAGUCAAUCCUUUGUGAAAUCGUUGUACCUAAUAUAACGACGUGCAGAGGAUAUUGCUAAACUAGGGACCGGGAGGGGCUUGGAGUAUGCCUGGGGGAGCGGUAAAAUGCUAUAAUCCUAGGUAGACUACCUUUGGCGAAGGCGCCAAGCUAGAACGGGUCCGACGGUGAGGAACGAAAGCUGGGGGAGCGAUCCGGAUUAGAUACCCGUGUAGU
rnacentral:rRNA from 2 species